rnacentral:rRNA from 1 species
AUUGAACGCUGGCGGCAGGCCUAACACAUGCAAGUCGAACGGUAACAGGGAUCAGCUUGCUGAUUCGCUGACGAGUGGCGGACGGGUGAGUAAUGUCUGGGAAACUACCUGAUGGAGGGGGAUAACUACUGGAAACGGUAGCUAAUACCGCAUAACGUCGCAAGACCAAAGAGGGGGACCUUCGGGCCUCUUGCCAUCGGAUGUGCCCAGAUGGGAUUAGCUAGUAGGUGGGGUAACGGCUCACCUAGGCGACGAUCCCUAGCUGGUCUGAGAGGAUGACCAGCCACACUGGAACUGAGACACGGUCCAGACUCCUACGGGAGGCAGCAGUGGGGAAUAUUGCACAAUGGGCGCAAGCCUGAUGCAGCCAUGCCGCGUGUAUGAAGAAGGCCUUCGGGUUGUAAAGUACUUUCAGCGGGGAGGAAGGGAGUAAAGUUAAUACCUUUGCUCAUUGACGUUACCCGCAGAAGAAGCACCGGCUAACUCCGUG